AUGGAUUCGUUACACCGACAACAAAUCUUAGAGAGUUUGUUGUCAAAUAUGAGCAAGCACUAAAGAGGAUCAUGGAUAGAGAAAGUGAUGAAGAUUUUGAAUCAGAACAUAGGUAUCGCAUUGUAAAUGAAGGAGAAUUCCUUUUGAAACAUGCAUCGAAGUUUUACACUAGAAAUGUUUUCAACAAGUUUAAGGAUGAAUGGAGUAAAGUUACUCUCUUCAAAGUUAAAGAAAUGCCAUGUGACAACGAAUAUCAUGCAUACCUAGUGAAAACAAAACUUAGAGAGCAUGAAGAGUUUGUGGUGAAGUUAAAUUUGCAAACAUACAAAGGUAUGUGUGAAUGCCAAAAUUUUGAGUUUGUUGGAAUACUUUGUCAACAUUUGUUGAAAGUAUUUGCCCGCCUUGAUGUAGAUACACUACUUGACCAUUUUAUUCUUCCAAGAUGGAGACAAGAUGCAAACAAAUUUAGGAUAAUGGAUUUGAAAAGCUUGGUGACAAAUGAUGGUAAAGAAGAAUUAGAGGCUUUGCGACUUAGCCAUAUGUGUCAUGAAGCAAACAAAGUUGGCUUACAUUGCAGCAUCUUCAAAU
rnacentral:lncRNA from 1 species